AUACGGAGGGUGCAAGCGUUACUCGGAAUCACUGGGCGUAAAGCGCGCGCAGGCGGUCUUUUAAGUUGGAUGUGAAAGCCUACGGCUCAACCGGAGAACUGCAUCCAAAACUAUUAGACUAGAGUGUGGGAGAGGAAGAUGGAAUUAGUUGUGUAGGGGUAAAAUCCGUAGAGAUAACUAGGAAUACCAAAAGCGAAGGCAAUCUUCUGGAACACUACUGACGCUGAGGCGCGAAAGCGUGGGGAGCAAACAGGAUUAGAAACCCGAGUAGUCC
rnacentral:rRNA from 1 species